CCUACGGGAGGCAGCAGCCAGGAAUCUUGGGCAAUGGGCGAAAGCCUGACCCAGCAACACCGUGUGGGCGAUGAAGGCCUUCGGGUCGUAAAGCCCUGUUGAUAGGGACGAAGGGCGAAGGGUUAAUAGCCCCUAGCCUGACGGUACCUUUCGAGGAAGCCCCGGCUAACUACGUGCCAGCAGCCGCGGUAAUACGUAGGGGGCGAGCGUUGUCCGGAAUUAUUGGGCGUAAAGAGCGUGUAGGCGGUUCGGUAAGUCUGCCGUGAAAACCUGAGGCUCAACCUCGGGCGUGCGGUGGAUACUGCCGGGCUAGAGGACGGUAGAGGCGAGUGGAAUUCCCGGUGUAGCGGUGAAAUGCGCAGAUAUCGGGAGGAACACCAGUAGCGAAGGCGGCUCGCUGGGCCGUUCCUGACGCUGAGACGCGAAAGCUAGGGGAGCGAACAGGAUUAGAUACCCUGGUAGUCCUAGCCGUAAACGAUGGACACUAGGUGUGGGGGGAGUCGAAUCCCUCUGUGCCGCAGUUAACGCGUUAAGUGCCCCGCCUGGGGAGUACGGCCGCAAGGCUAAAACUCAAAGGAAUUGACGGGGGCCCGCACAAGCAGCGGAGCAUGUGGUUUAAUUCGACGCAACGCGAAGAACCUUACCUGGGCUUGACAUGUGGAUGACCGACGUGGAAACACGUCUUCCCUUCGGGGCAUCUUCACAGGUGGUGCAUGGCUGUCGUCAGCUCGUGUCGUGAGAUGUUGGGUUAAGUCCCGCAACGAGCGCAACCCCCGUCGCAUGUUGCCAGCAUUUAGUUGGGGACUCAUGCGAGACUGCCGGUGACAAACCGGAGGAAGGUGGGGAUGACGUCAAGUCAUCAUGCCCCUUAUGUCCAGGGCUACACACGUGCUACAUUGGCGCGUACAGAGGGCUGCGAUACCGCGAGGUGGAGCGAAUCCCUCAAAGCGCGUCUCGGUUCCGAUUGGAGGCGAACCUCCCCUCCCCGAAGCGGAUUUUCAUU
rnacentral:rRNA from 1 species